rnacentral:rRNA from 1 species
UACGGAGGGUGCAAGCGUUAUCCGGAAUCACUGGGUUUAAAGGGUGCGUAGGCGGCGUGUCAAGUCAGUUGUGAAAUCUCCGAGCUUAACUCGGAACGGUCAACUGAUACUGUCAUGCUAGAGUGCAGAAGGGGCAAUCGGAAUUCUUGGUGUAGCGGUGAAAUGCGUAGAUAUCAAGAGGAACACCUGAGGUGAAGACGGGUUGCUGGGCUGACACUGACGCUGAGGCGCGAAAGCCAGGGGAGCAAACGGG